UUCCGGAGUGGAGGGAGGAAGUCCAAUCCUGCGCCAGGCUCCCUCCCUCCCGCUCCGCCGCGCUCCCAGGGGGAACUCGGGAGAGCCGCGGUCCCUGACCUCGACCUGAGACGUGGAGGAGGGACAGGGAAAAAGCCUUCUUCUCGCAGCUGCAGGUUGCCCCACCGAGGGCAUUUUUCCGCACCGAGGGGGCGGGGGGCAGAAUGCACGCCAGAAAACCUAAGUGCGCUGGGUUUAAAAUAGCAACAACAACAAAAAUUACAAAUAACCAAAAAAUAGCAUAAGAAUUAAAAACAGUUAUAUUCCAAUGUUUUUGAUACUUGGUUCACAUUUUGGAUGCUCUCCCCAGGGAUCCGACGGCGCUGCGGAGGCGGCAGCGAUGUUUGGGAUCCUAAAGAAAGCGUCAGACCAGACUCAGCUCUGGACGUCCCUCAAGUGGCCUGGAGGUACCGAUAUUAGGGUCACCGCCGUCGGUGCCCUGCCCAGAAAUAAAACCUUUGUUCUGAGAGAAAUUGAAAAGCUGGAAAAUACGGAGUAGGCGAUGUGAAGAGAAACUACGGGGAAUGUAGAGGUCGGGUUUUAAAUGCGUAUUUCCUCAAGGAUGUUGUGGAAGCAGACACACGGUGGCUGGCCUGGCGCAGGCUGGGGGACCUCCAACGAUCUCCACAGGGAGGCAGUUACAUUCAACACCCUACCUAGCAAAAGAAGAAAAGAACAAGCCCAUCAAAACAUCCCUGGGGUUUUGACAAAGGAAUCCCUGACAAAACGUGACUGAUAACUAGGACGGAACUGAAAAGUGGAAGUAAAGUCAAUCCCGACCGCCCAGGACGCCUGGGAACUGAGGGAAGCGACCCCAGAAGGGAGCAGCUCAGAAACCCUGACCAGACCUGGCGGAGAAGAACCCUGUGGGCGGGGGACAGGAACGCCCACCCAGAGGCCGGGAGAGCAUGGUCCGGGACUGGCAGCCACUAACAACCUCUGAAUGAAACUGAGGAAGGAAGUCAGUGGUAGUCGGGACCAUUAGGGUGCACCAGGGCAUAUGGAACAGUCAGGGACGAUAAGAAAACAUUCCUUCCAGAAACAUUCACUGGCACCUCCCGCGCAGACACACUGCCAGGCCGGGGAAUCGCAGAGAUGAACUGGGAGACCUGCCUGCCCUGAAGAACUCACAGCUGUUGAGCAGCAAGUCUCUUCAACCUUUCGGAGAUGGACUGCAUUUCCUACCAAGACCCUGGCUGAUAGCAGAGUGACCCCAGGAAACACAGCUCCUCAACUGUGGGAUUCUGGCUGGGUUACCCACAGAUUCGUGCGUGCAUAGGGAACAAAAGGGAUGCUAGUAACCCGUGGCAUAGAGGGCAGCAGGAUUACUCCAGUUAGCACUGGGAAUAGUGUGAGGGGCAGAUGGACCACAAAGCUUUGGGGGCUUUUGCUGCUGUUGCACUUGAUUGCUAUGGCAACAGUAAUAAUUAUAAAGAUUGUAGAGUAAAAUGGAUGUUUCUGACUUCCCUGGAGAGUUUUUAAACAAUGGAAAAGAUAAGCAUGAAGUAUUAAAUUCUCAUUUUAAGGUACAGAUAUGCUGAAAUUCAAAGAACCAUUUAUCUGGGAUAGGCACAGGACAGACUAAGUUCAUCUUCAGAUACUAAAUAUAAUUGUACAGAUUACAGAAUUGUGGCAAAGGUUAAGUGGUCAACCUCAGCAAGUUCUCUUGCUAAGAUUAGGACACUGAUCGGGAAGGAGUAGGACCAUAGACUUGUGAUCGGAACAUUUGGACAGACACAGACAAAGCCGAAUUCCCAAAUCUCAAGGCUCCCUUGUAUACAGAAGCAGCCCCACCUCCCCUGUAGCAAGGAAAUUAGCCUUCACUUACACUAAGACCUUUCAAGACUUCACUGGGGCCUUUGCCUCCCACCUGGAUGCCUGUUCUCCUCCAAACUUGCCCCUGAUGCACCUUAUUGACUCCAGGACCAUAACAAGAAUAAACUCACUACAGAGCCCAGAAGGAGAAAUACAAGGUCAGCCAGAGAAGGGGAGGAUGGAAAUAGAUUAUAUACCACGAAAGCUGGAAAAUCUUGCCAAUAUGUGUUGCAAAGAAGCUGAGAACUGUGUAUGGGAAUGGAUUCUAAAGUGUGAGACUAAGGAGGAUGAAAUACUAGGUCAGGCCAGGCAUGGUGGCUCACACCUAUAUUCCCAGCACUUUGGAAGGCAGAGACAGGAGGAUAGCUUGAGGCCAGGAGUUCAAGACCAGCCUUGGCAACAUGGUGAGACACCAUCUCUACAAAAAAUGUAAAAAUUAGCCACGUGUGGUGGUGCAUGCAUGCCUCUAGUCCCAGCUGCUCAAAGGCUGAGGUGGGAGGAUCAUUUGAACCUAGGAGGUCAAGGCUGCAGAGACCUAUAAUGGCACCAUUGCACUUCAGCCUGGUGACAGCAAGACCCUGUCUCGAAUAAAACAUAAAGUAAGAUUCAGCAAAAUUUAUGAAUAUGCAUACACUCACCUGGGAUUUAUGAUUUAGUGUGUUAUAUAUUGGAGUGACUAAAAUGUUUUAGA